GGCCUUAUCGUCUACUCGGUUUAGGAUUCCUGACUUUCAAUCAGGGGAAGAGGGUUCGAAUCCCUCUAAGGCUACCA
rnacentral:tRNA from 1 species